rnacentral:rRNA from 1 species
GCGAGCGUUAAUCGAAUUUACUGGGCGUAAAGCGUGCGUAGGCGGCUUUUUAGGUCGGAUGUGAAAUCCCUGAGCUUAACUUAGGAAUUGCAUUCGAUACUGGGAAGCUAGAGUAUGGGAGAGGAUGGUAGAAUUCCAGGUGUAGCGGUGAAAUGCGUAGAGAUCUGGAGGAAUACCGAUGGCGAAGGCAGCCAUCUGGCCUAAUACUGACGCUGAGGUACGAAAGCAUGGGGAGCAAACAGGAUUAGAUACCCUGGUAGUCCAUGCCGUACACGAUGUCUACUAGCCGUUGGGUGCCUUAGAGGCUUUAGUGGCGCCGCUAACGCGAUAAGUAGACCGCCUGGGGAGUACUGUCGCAAGACUAAAACUCAUAUGAAUUGACGGGGGCUCGCACGAGCAGCUGGA